CAACUGUUAACCAUUCGUCUUAAAUAUAAUACGAAUCCUUGUUAUUCAACGUGAAAAUUGGUUGAAAAUACAAGCAAAUAUAGUAAGGUUAUGGUUCUGUCACGUUAAUUCAUCAUUUUAUAAUCCUAUUUCACAAUCUCGAUAUUUUUAUGGUCUAUUGACUUAUUGCGCAACGUUUAAUAUGCACACACUGUGAUUAAGAACCUUUUAUGCACAUGUUAAAAUAUUCUGAACUUUGCACGCGAUUUUGUGUUUGCUUGAAAUCGAUAAAAUCGUUGGUAAAAGAAGAGAUUUUUUGGUCUGUUUUUGAAACAAUGCGUCAGUGAGUUUGUGGUUAAGGUAGGUUAAAACAUACACAAUGUUUUUGAGGCAUAAUUUUAUGUAUUUCGCAAUGAUGUCAAUGUUAUGAAUUUGAUAGCAUUGUUAACAAGCAGACAUAUUUGUAUGAUUCUGAAAUCAGACAGUUUCCGC